rnacentral:rRNA from 1 species
GACGAACGCUGGCGGCGUGCUUAACACAUGCAAGUCGAACGGAAAGGCCCUGCUUUUGUGGGGUGCUCGAGUGGCGAACGGGUGAGUAACACGUGAGUGACCUGCCCUUGACUUUGGGAUAACUUCAGGAAACUGGGGCUAAUACCGGAUAGGAGCUCCUGCUGCAUGGUGGGGGUUGGAAAGUUUCGGCGGUUGGGGAUGGACUCGCGGCUUAUCAGCUUGUUGGUGGGGUAGUGGCUUACCAAGGCUUUGACGGGUAGCCGGCCUGAGAGGGUGACCGGCCACAUUGGGACUGAGAUACGGCCCAGACUCCUACGGGAGGCAGCAGUGGGGAAUAUUGCACAAUGGGCGGAAGCCUGAUGCAGCAACGCCGCGUGCGGGAUGACGGCCUUCGGGUUGUAAACCGCUUUCGCCUGUGACGAAGCGUGAGUGACGGUAAUGGGUAAAGAAGCACCGGCUAACUACGUGCCAGCAGCCGCGGUGAUACGUAGGGUGCGAGCGUUGUCCGGAUUUAUUGGGCGUAAAGGGCUCGUAGGUGGUUGAUCGCGUCGGAAGUGUAAUCUUGGGGCUUAACCCUGAGCGUGCUUUCGAUACGGGUUGACUUGAGGAAGGUAGGGGAGAAUGGAAUUCCUGGUGGAGCGGUGGAAUGCGCAGAUAUCAGGAGGAACACCAGUGGCGAAGGCGGUUCUCUGGGCCUUUCCUGACGCUGAGGAGCGAAAGCGUGGGGAGCGAACAGGCUUAGAUACCCUGGUAGUCCACGCUGUAAACGGUGGGUACUAGGUGUGGGGUCCAUUCCACGGGUUCCGUGCCGUAGCUAACGCUUUAAGUACCCCGCCUGGGGAGUACGGCCGCAAGGCUAAAACUCAAAGGAAUUGACGGGGCCCCGCACAAGCGGCGGAGCAUGCGGAUUAAUUCGAUGCAACGCGUAGAACCUUACCUGGGUUUGACAUGGAUCGGGAGUGCUCAGAGAUGGGUGUGCCUCUUUUGGGGUCGGUUCACAGGUGGUGCAUGGCUGUCGUCAGCUCGUGUCGUGAGAUGUUGGGUUAAGUCCCGCAACGAGCGCAACCCUUGUUCACUGUUGCCAGCACGUUAUGGUGGGGACUCAGUGGAGACCGCCGGGGUCAACUCGGAGGAAGGUGGGGAUGACGUCAAGUCAUCAUGCCCCUUAUGUCCAGGGCUUCACGCACGCUACAAUGGCUGGUACAGAGAGUGGCGAGCCUGUGAGGGUGAGCGAAUCUCGGAAAGUCGGUCUCAGUUCGGAUUGGGGUCUGCAACUCGACCUCAUGAAGUCGGAGUCGCUAGUAAUCGCAGAUCAGCAACGCUGCGGUGAAUACGUUCCCGGGGCU